rnacentral:rRNA from 1 species
UGGGGAAUUUUGGACAAUGGGCGAAAGCCUGAUCCAGCAAUGCCGCGUGUGUGAAGAAGGCCUUCGGGUUGUAAAGCACUUUUGUCCGGAAAGAAAUCCUUGGCUCUAAUACAGUCGGGGGAUGACGGUACCGGAAGAAUAAGCACCGGCUAACUACGUGCCAGCAGCCGCGGUAAUACGUAGGGUGCAAGCGUUAAUCGGAAUUACUGGGCGUAAAGCGUGCGCAGGCGGUUUGCUAAGACCGAUGUGAAAUCCCCGGGCUCAACCUGGGAACUGCAUUGGUGACUGGCAGGCUAGAGUAUGGCAGAGGGGGGUAGAAUUCCACGUGUAGCAGUGAAAUGCGUAGAGAUGUGGAGGAAUACCGAUGGCGAAGGCAGCCCCCUGGGCCAAUACUGACGCUCAUGCACGAAAGCGUGGGGAGCAAAGCAGGAUUAGAUACCCUGGUAGUCCACGCCCUAAACGAUGUCAACUAGUUGUUGGGGAUUCAUUUCCUUAGUAACGUAGCUAACGCGUGAAGUUGACCGCCUGGGGAGUACGGUCGCAAGAUUAAAACUUCAAAUGAAUUGACGGGGUCAUAGCUGUUUCCU